AUGAGAAAAACAAAGGGAAAGAAGAGAGGCACCUGAUAUAUGUUCUCUAGGCCUUUGAGACAACAUAGAGUUGAUCCUUUGGCCACGAAUAUGCAAAUCUGUAAGGUGAUAUUGUAGACAUCAAGAGAAUGCGUACUGUUCAAAAAGGAAUGCUCCACAGGUGUUACCAUGGCAAAACUGGAAGAGUCUACCAUGUUCCCCAGCAUGCUGUUGACAUUGUUUUAAACAAGUUAAGGGCAAGCUUCUUGCAAAGAGAAUUAAUGUGCGUACUGAGUAUAUGAAGAACUCUAAGAGCUGAGAUAGCUUCCUGAAAUGUGUGAAGGAAAGUGAUCAGUAACAGAAGGAAGCCAAAGAGAAACAUACCUGGGUGCAACUGAAGCACCAGCCUGCUCCACCCAGAGAAGCACACUUUAUGAGAACCCAUGGCAGGGAGCCUGAGCUGCUGGAACCUCUUCCCUGUGGAUUCAUGGCUUAA
rnacentral:lncRNA from 1 species